CAACCUACGUCCAACUCUUUGGCUGGAGGAGCUGGAGAUGAGGGACAGGAGUAGAUGCAGCCGACCAAGCCGGUGAUGAAUCCAGCCCCACCAGCUGGACAGACCUUCUGGUUCGAUAUCCCUUCUGCCAAGUCCAAGCAGGCUGCUUGAGGUAGCUUUUUUAAUUAGAUCUAGUGCCGUGGAAGACUUCUGGAGGAGGACUAACACAUUGUUGUAGAUGACAAAUUCCAGAGGAUGCUAGAAGCAAUGCAUGGUUUCUUUCGACGGGAAGACAAGGUAGCAACUCUCAAGACGAUAUUUUGUGCUAAUAUAUAUGAGCCAGCACCCACUUCCAACAAUCAACAAGUAUGGCCAGACAGGGAGGUGCGCAACAUUAGAUAUAGCUCCACCCGAUGUAGAAAAGCAUACUUGAUGUGCUAGAAAUGUAAUCAAGUAUUAGAUAGAAGAAGGAAUCUAGGCGUGUGACCCAGACAACAUGUUCAAACUACAUGGGAGUACUGGAGGAAAGCCAUCAAGUGCAUGUUAAUUUAUCACCAUUCCACAGCCUUUCCUGUAUUAUCCACUGUUGUUUGUAAACUAGUGACCUCAUGUUUUUUCUUUUAUUUUCAGAUUUAUCGCUCAUUA